UCCGGCCGCCGGGAUAUGCUGCUGCGGCCGCUGCGGAACUGGGCAGCCCGGGCGCUGCGGCGCGAGGGGCCUGGGAGCCUCGCCCCGGGCCAGGGGACGCGCGGGGCGCAGCACCGGGCCUCGCUUCGCGAUAAAGAUAGAGAAAACAAAAAAGAGAAAAAAUCAGUGAUCUGCGUUGAGGGCAACAUUGCAAGCGGGAAGACGACAUGCCUGGAGUUCUUCUCCAACACAACGGACAUGGAGGUGUUACCGGAACCGGUGCCCAAGUGGAGAAAUGUCCGUGGUCAUAAUCCUCUGGGGCUGAUGUACCGCGAUGCCUGUCGAUGGGGCCUCACGCUGCAGACGUACGUGCAGCUCACCAUGCUGGACCACCACACUCGUCCUCAGACAUCACCUGUACGGUUGAUGGAGCGGUCGAUUCACAGCGCAAGAUAUGUUUUUGUAGAAAACCUAUAUAGAAGCGGGAAGAUGCCUGAAGUGGACUACGUGGUUCUAUCCGAAUGGUUUGACUGGAUCGUGAGGAACAUCGACGUGUCUGUCGAUUUGAUAGUGUACCUGCGGACCACUCCCGAGACCUGUUACCAGAGGCUGCAGCUGAGAUGCAGGGAAGAGGAGACAGUCAUUCCCCUGGAAUACCUGAAUGCUAUUCACCACCUCUAUGAGGAGUGGCUCAUCAAAGGGGGUCUUUUCCCUGUGGCAGCCCCUGUUCUGGUGAUUGAGGCUGACCACGACAUGCAGAAAAUGUUAAAACUCUUUGAACAAAACCGGGACCGAAUAUUAACUCCAGAGACCCAGAAACAUGGUUCAUAGGAUGGGAAAGAUCAUGCCAGAAAAAUGCCUGCUGCUGCGAGGUUAGCUAUUAGGAGCCAUUUGGAAAUGCCCACUCUUGGGAGGGCUUGAUAUCUGGCCACGUUUGUUUUCCUGAUGGUCUUUUCCUCUUUGUCACCGUCUUCCUCCUUGGUCUCUGGCCCUUGCGGGUAAAUGACAAAUGGGACCAAUGGGUUUGUCAUGCCCUUUGGUGUUUGCAGCCUUGCAUUCCCCCUGCACCUGUCCUGGUGGCUUCCCACUGCUGGGUCCCUGUGAUUAAGGAAAGAGCCACCCGAAGUUAUGCUGGGCUUUGGGUCUCUAACCCUUCCGACUACCCAGGAGGGCGAGGUAGUGGCCUCACAUCCCAGAGAGAAAGUUGAAGCUUAGAGAGGCUAAGGGACUUCCCCAGGGUCCCACAGCCAGUGACAGUGGUGUUGGCACAAGUGAGACUUUUGGUGACUCUAGAACAUUCUCUCCCUCAUCCUGAGAGCCUGUCUUCCCUUGCUAGAGAUCUCACAUGUGUAUGGGGAGAGCCAGCAGUGCGUGGAGCCAGUGUCAUCAUUUUCUCAUUAUCCGAGCAGUUCACAAGGGCAGUCGAUGUUCUUAGACUUCCACAAAAUUGUGCCGUGUUUGGCUUGAGCCCAGCGUUCAGUGGUUUCCCAGCAGGAGGCUGCCGUGGCAUUCACCACUGCGGCAUCUGGCCUUCCAUGGCCUUAGGAGAAUCUCGCAGCGGGUCCUGACUGGUGCUUGGUCUCCUUGGUGAUGACGGCCUUGCCAGAGCUGCUGCCAGUUCGCAGUCAGGGAAAUGGCUUUGGUGCCUAGGUGGUUUGCCCAGGGCCAAGCUGGGGCGAGGGGCACCGGCCCUGGUUUCUGAGGCCUCCUUACUCUACAGGCCUCGUGUGAAGAGCUUUGCCCUUGGAAUUACUGAGAGUCUGUGGCCCGGGAGAGAGACACACGUGGCCUUAAGUAUUUUUAAAAUGUUUUUCUAUCCAAGAGACACUUUGGACCAUAGAGCAUGAAAUCAUCUUUAUUGGUUCAGAAAAUAUCUUAGCUUCACUCAGCUGCAACAAUGCAUCAAAGCCGCAGCUAUCUCUUGAGUCAAGUGGAAAGAGAAAGAAAGAACAUUCUUUUAAGAGGGCAGUCUGGACUGGAAGAUCAGGGCUUGCAAGCAGAGGCUCUUAGAGCACGGGUGCUCCUGAUAUUUUGGAGGUGGGCCGAGAGAGCUUUGAGAAGACUGGUUGUAGACAUGGGGAAGGGUCAGUCGUGACUUUGGGGAAACAGGCCUCAGCCUCUCCUCACAGUGGUUGGCAUCAACGAAGGUUGGAAGCCUCAUUCUGCCCUCUGCGUGAGUGUGGACCCUGUGCGUGCAGUUCUCUGACUCGGUGUGGGUGACUGGAGCCCUGGUGGUCCGGUCCCAGAGGGAGGCAAGCACUGUGACUCCUGGACCAGUUCUUGGGCUCUGUAGGCAGGACGAGGGGCAGCAGCCCAGCAGGGACGUGUCUCUCCGCCCAAAUGUCAGGGAUUGACCAGAAGUCUGGGGUCAGGAAGCAGGAGCCUGUGCUGCCAGGUGUCGUGACAAGCCCCGGCCGUCUUUGGGAAUUUUUAAGUGAACAGUCCAGGAUUUGCCCCACAGAUGAAUUUGAGCAUCUCUUUGGGGGGGGGGAAAUGUGAUUUAAACAAAAGUAAAGUCUUGCCCUGUGGUAGCCAGUAAAUCCUUCACCUAAAACCUGCCGUGAGUCUUAGCGUGCUGCCCCGGCCAGGGAUUUGAGCUCUGAGCAGCAGCAGGAUAAUGUUUUCAUUUGUUUAAGACUCAUCUUUCCUAAUGUGAGAUGUGCGGGUCUGGGAGAGCACCCCAUCCUCUUGCUCCAGGACUGCAGGUGCCGUGCGUCUGCUUUCCCGGUGUGGCAGGUGGGGCCAGUGGCAUAGGGGCCGUGGAGCAGUUACAGAAGCGAGGGCAGAAGGAGGGCAGAUGGCCUGUGGUGGGCACAGGGCCUGGUUUUUAGAGCAGAAGGAGGCACGCUCCAGGACUCCCAGGAAUGGCUGGUGUCUCUGAAUCGCCAAUAGAGCGAGUCAGGGCAAUGACAUCCCUGAUUUGCUGGUGUCCCCCCAUUCUUACCCUGAUGCAGGGUUCCAGAGAGCAUAGUGGGAGGGUGCCCCAGAGCGACCCCAGCUGCUUUGACCCUUGAUAAUUAAAAAAAAUUUUUUUGAAUAGCCUAUACAUUUGCUUUUAGUCCGUAUUUUCAGUGAAAUAAUUCUAUUUACACUACAGCUUUUUAAUUUUACAUGCAAAAGACACGAUCAGAAUCAAUCAGAAAUAUUUCCUGUACCUGGUGAUUAAAAAACAACAACAACAAUGAGGUGGAAGUGUAUUUCUGUGUCGCAUGAGAGUGUGGAGGUGGGUGAUUCAAGGCUGGUGUGGUGGCUCCAAGGCCGUCAGGGUUCUGGGCUCUUUCUGGCUUUGUGUUCCCAGUUCAACUUCCUGGUUCAUGCCUUCCUUCCUCCAGGGACGUCCCUGUCCUUGGUGGUGCCAGAGCUCCUACUCCGCCUACUGUUGGCAUCAGGGCACCCUGUGCCCUGACAAUGACAGGAGGGAAGUCUGGAUUCACCAGCUGGACCACAGGUCUGGCGUCAGGGCCAUGGUGCCCUCUGGCCCGUCCUGUCCCUCCCUCCUGCCCUCACAUCAUGUCUCCCUCACCGCCUGGUGCUGUGGUGUCCUCAGCUCAACCUGCCUCCUGCGUUGGGCGGAGCCAAGUGAGGGCACGACCACCGGUCUGACGCACUCCCACAGCGUGGCUCUCGGGAGGUGUAAAUGACACCUCCCUGACUGUCGGCCCUGAGAAAUGAUGUCACCUCUCCGUUCCUCUUCCUACCCCCUUUCACUUCUAUCUGAGCCCCUCACCUAGAUGCGAUGUGCACCCCUCCCUGCCUGUGGAACACUUCAGUCAGAGACCCUUCCGGGACCUCCCGCAGACUCCCACCACCAGACCCAGGGAAGGACUGAAGCAUUUACAACUCUGAGAGCAGGUAGAUGUUUCCAGAACCUGCCUACCCCGGCCGCUGUUGAAUCUGUGACAUGUUGUUUUCCUAGAACCCUGGAGCCAGAUGGGGGCGCUCACUUCAAGUGUUCCCCUGUCUGUGGAAUGAGUAACAUUCACUCCCUUGGCCUCUCCACCCUGAAAAAUUACAGUUAUUAAAGUAAUUGACGAGCUCCUGGAAAUGUCAACCCUCCCUGUUGAAAAUCUAAUAACAAUAAUAGCCCGCCUGGUGCUUCUGGGCUCUGGCGGUGGAUUACUCACUCAGGGUCACUGGCACGGGCCUUUCUUUUCCUCAGAACCCCAGCCCCGCCGCUCCCCUAAGGCUGAGUGAACUCCGUGUUCCUCUGGUUUACAUAAGACAGUGAGCUUGCCAAAGGCGGUCAUUAAACAGAAGCCAAGCGAGAGCCGGUCUUGUGGAAUCCAGAAUGGGUGACCAGGAGGCUGUGGUCCAGGGACCACCCUUGGAGAGCCACCUCUCUAGACUGACAUUUUCUAGAAUUGGCCAUCCCAGAUUUCCAAGAAACCUUGGCACCUUUUUGGUUGUUGAACAUCUUGUGAUUGUUGGUUAUCCUGUCUGUCAAACGAGAGAACUGCUCACCUCUCAGGACUUGGCACAUGGAAGGGGCCUGGACCAGGGCCCGGUAUGCCGCAAGUGUCCCUGUAAGUGUUCGUUCGUCCGAUGUGGCCCAGAAAAUGGGGCCGUGAUGCAGUUACUUGGUGGAGGAAUGGCAGCAGCUGCACUGACUGGCACUGCCCGUCGGAGUGGUGUUGACGUGUGCUCUCACCGGCUCAUCAGGGGCCACCGUGACUGACCUGUUCAGUGGGCACGGGCCACAGGCCUGGUGGAGGCUGACCUUUGGGACCGUACCUCCGAAAAGUGCCUCAUGGCCUUUCUGGAAUAACAGAGCAUGGGGCAGGCAAUUGGCCCUUCUCUUCGUUUUAAAAAUGUUCCUCCUUCUCAUGGGGUCUCGAUCUGUACCUGGCAUCCUGUGGCAUGAGAGGGAGGCCUGGAGAGACAUCGCUGCUUCUCAGGCCCUGGGGUGGACAUUUCCUGUACCAACAAGGUCCUGGAUUCCUUACACAAUAAACUGGUGGUUUUCUGUUCUGUUC